UCCCGGCUCUCCCUGGAGCGCGAUGCCCGGCCGGACUCCAGCCCCCGGCAUGCCCCGCGCGGGGAGCAGGGCCACCCUGUGGGACACGCCCGGCUCCCUACUGCCCCAACCCUGCUGAGGGAGCGCGGCGCAGGUACCGAGCCGAGAGCGCACUGCCGCCCCGCUGUCGGAACCGCCAGGCCCCCCUCGCCUUACGCGCCACCUACCGGAUAGCAAGGCGGCAACGCGGGAGGCCCCUGACAGACCCAGCAGCGGGAGGUUCUACCUGCUCGCAACCACUUGAUGUAAACCUUAUCCUUUCCUCUGUGCUCCCAGGAAAAUCUUAUUAUAGGAUUGGCGACAAGCGUUGGCUGUGGCGUGAGAUCUAAGGUGCAAUUGAUCUGGAGUAAGUGACUGGUCCUUUGGAACUGGGAGUAACCUGAAUAUUGCUGUGAUUCUGGGUGUAAGGGACCUUCUAUCACACAGGACAGGUAAGCUUACCUGGGUGGCAAAAGAGACUAUUGGGAGUAUCCAUGGGGACUAUCUGUGACUCCAUGUUUAGGCUAUUACAGAGCCUUAAGAAUUUACACUUGUGUGGAAACAGAGUUAAAGGAUUUAAAUAUAGGCUUCUCCAUUGUAAGAAACAGCAAUUGUCAUGCUAAGUCUUAUCCUAAUAUUGCGGGACCUGUAGAAGCAGGUGUGACGUUGUGCAGUCUAUAUGGUUUUAUAAAAACUUGAUAAUAAGUCAAUAUAAUGUAACUGAGAUAGUUUUAGAGAAAAUACGGUAAUAAGUGAAUGUAACGUAA